CGACCGGCGCACGGGUGAGUAACGCGUAUCCAACCUGCCCUUUACUAUGGGACAGCCCGUCGAAAGGCGGAUUAAUACCGUAUGUUGUCAUGUUGAUGCAUAUUUUCAUGACCAAAGGCUUCGGCCGGUAAAGGAUGGGGAUGCGUCUGAUUAGCUUGCCGGCGGGGUAACGGCCCACCGGGGCGACGAUCAGUAGGGGUUCUGAGAGGAAGGUCCCCCACAUUGGAACUGAGACACGGUCCAAUCUCCUACGGAAGGCAGCAG
rnacentral:rRNA from 1 species